rnacentral:rRNA from 1 species
AGGAUUAACGCUGGCGGCGUGCCUAACACAUGCAAGUCGAACGAGGUAGCAAUACCUAGUGGCAGACGGGUGAGUAACGCGUGGUCAACCUACCGUUGAGUGGGGGAUAACUAGCCGAAAGGUUAGCUAAUACCGCAUACGUCUCCGAGGGGCAUCUCUUGGCGAUAAAAGGAGCAAUCCGCUCGAUGACGGGGCCGCGUCCCAUUAGCUAGAUGGUGGGGUAACGGCCUACCAUGGCACCGAUGGGUAGCUGGUUUGAGAGAGCGACCAGCCACACUGGGACUGAGAAACGGCCCAGACUCCUACGGGAGGCAGCAGUGAGGAAUUUUCCGCAAUGGGCGCAAGCCUGACGGAGCGACGCCGCGUGUGGGAAGAAGGCCUUCGGGUCGUAAACCACUGUCGAAGGGGACGAUAAUGACGGUACCCUUGGAGGAAGCCCGGCUAACUACGUGCCAGCAGCCGC